AUCAGGUAUAGUUGGUAGGAUGAAGCAUUAGUGGAUAUAGCAAGUGUGCCGGGGAUGCGGCUCGGGCGUAGUAGGUCUGGACGCCUAGCAUGAAACAGCCUUCUCUGGUAUGGUAGCGGCACUAUACCUUAGUAUAGUAUCUCUCUAGCUUCCAGUCUAUAUAAAACGUAGUUAGCAGAGAGGUAAGUCUGUCUGGCGUUCCCUCGCGUAAAGGGCGACUUUGGCAUCGGCUCUCUCUCGUUAGGUAAUUACCGAGGCGAAAGCAGCUCUCUCGGAAGUCAGUUUCCCCACCAUCUUAGUGGGACUAGUCUAAUAAACUUUCACUUGAACUUUCAAGACUCGGAUUUUUUUUGUUGUGGUAACGCUCUUCUAGAAUUACGUUUAACGUCCCUUUAUGGCUUUCCCGAUCGGCGCCUCGGGUCGGUAGCCGGGCUCCGGGACAUUACUACCACGGCUACUAUCGACCCGAGCCCAAAGAAAGAAAAGAACGGACUAAAGCGAGGAGUUCAUUGGCCAUACAUAGUGAAGGGGGAUGGGGGUCAACCUCUUUCAUGACCCAUGGCCCCAGUGUGUCACUUGGUUAGCAUUUCUAGAAUAAAUUGAGUAGGGUUGGUUUUUCGACAGGGAAACAGGGGAGUUGGCUGUAGUUGAGACAUGUUUUUCGGAUGGACGAUAUGGAUUUUUUCGAGAUGGUUAACUACUUUUUUAACCGUGAGAGGGAGGUCAUUCAGAACCCGCUGGCUCCAGAACCGGCGGAAGUUCCCCACGCCGAUCCCAUUUUUUUGAGCAAGUUCGGGAACAUUGUGAGAAGGGGAAGGGGCGGCUGUCCGUUCACUUUCCGGAAAUGGCAGAAAUCUACUCCAGUGUCGUAGAGAAGAUUAUGUCUCGCGAUCUGGAAAUAUCUGCGGAGAUGAAUACUGAAACCCUCAGCGGAUGGGUGGAGGAGAGAAAGGAGAACCCUAAUUAAUCUCUUAAAAUCCCUCAUUAGGGAACACCUGUAAGAUUAGUCUGCCGCUUUCUUUCAUAACAGAGCCGGGAAUAACGGCUGGCAUAGAAGUCUCUCGCACGCAAGGGGAUGCUGCUGCUGGAUGUCAUGGUUCUGGGGCGCCAUGAUUCUUCUCUCUGGAACAAAACAAUCGAGGGCACUGCCUUCCUUCAGCUUUCAGAGGUGGGGGCUGCAUCAAUCAUCGCUCAGUGAGCUAUUUAUUUUAUUGCCGCCAAUAGCGCUUCGCUUGCAUGCAAGGCGGCACGCCAGGUAGAGCUAUCGCGCGCGGGCGAAGGAGAUGCAUUUCUGGUACUGGUAGUACUGUACAAGCUCUUAGGGAAUAAUCUAUUUCUUAUUUCUGCCUUUCUUUCCCAUGACGACUAGGAACGGGCAAAUCAAAAAUUUCACUUUGAAUUUCGGACCUCAACAUCCUGCUGCUCAUGGUGUUUUACGAUUAGUAUUGGAAAUGAACGGAGAAGUGGUGGAACGUGCGGAACCACAUAUUGGAUUACUCCA
rnacentral:misc_RNA from 1 species